rnacentral:piRNA from 1 species
ACAAAUCUGAAGGGCAAAUACUAAUC